rnacentral:rRNA from 1 species
UAGGGAAUCUUCCGCAAUGGGCGAAAGCCUGACGGAGCAACGCCGCGUGAGUGAUGAAGGUCUUCGGAUCGUAAAACUCUGUUAUUAGGGAAGAACAAAUGUGUAAGUAACUAUGCACGUCUUGACGGUACCUAAUCAGAAAGCCACGGCUAACUACGUGCCAGCAGCCGCGGUAAUACGUAGGUGGCAAGCGUUAUCCGGAAUUAUUGGGCGUAAAGCGCGCGUAGGCGGUUUUUUAAGUCUGAUGUGAAAGCCCACGGCUCAACCGUGGAGGGUCAUUGGAAACUGGAGAACUUGUGUGCAGAAGAGGAAAGUGGAAUUCCAUGUGUAGCGGUGAAAUGCGCAGAGAUAUGGAGGAACACCAGUGGCGAAGGCGACUUUCUGGUCUGUAACUGACGCUGAUGUGCGAAAGCGUGGGGAUCAAACAGG